rnacentral:lncRNA from 1 species
CAUGAUUAUAUCAUUAAUUUAUCAUGAUGCCACUUUCAAGUCAGAUAGGAUCUCAUAAAUUCCACCUUGAUUUGUAGGUGUGGUAUGUGUGUUUAGGGAGAAGGAUGUAGGUGAGGAAAACAUGAAGAAAAUCUUCUGAAAAAGAACAACUCAAUCAGCACAGGUGAGAAUAGAAGAACGCCUUGCUUUGCCUUUGAGAGUGGGCUACCAGAUCGAUGCGAGAUUGAAGAGUCGAUGGUGGGUGCAUUUAGAGCCUGGAAGCAAAGGAUGGAGGCUGCUCCUUGAAGCAGAGAGGCACGAUGGGAUCAGUCAAAGAGAUUGUAUGUGCUCCUCAGCAAUCUCAUCAUGCCUUGUUAGAAUAAGAUAAGGAUUGAAUGAAUUCAUUUCGAAGACAGAAGUCAAGUUUGGAGAAGAAUGUCCGAAACCAUUACUUAACAUCCAUUAGUCAAGCCUAUCUUAAUCAUGAGUAACAGAAACCCACUCUAUCUAGCACACACACACACACAAAAUGAAAAGGUGAGUUUUCUGCAAAGAUACAAGGUAUCUAACAAAACACAAGGGAAGGAAGUACAAUCGGACCUCAUCUCUGGAUGGUCCAGAAUUGAGCUUAUUCUCUAUGGCAGAUUAUAUUUUCCCAAAAUGGCCACAACAGUAUUUUACAUCCCACAUGCUCUUCCUGAGCCUUGCCACUGCUACACCAAAAUUUGAAAUCUAUGCCCUCUUCUCUUGAAACUGUGUGUGCCUUUGUGACUGCCUUAACUAAUACAGGACCAUGAUAGGAGAGUGUAGAUGACUUGUGAAGCAAAGUUAUGUCAUAAGAGUUGAUACGGCUUCCACCUGGCUCUCUCUGUUGGAACUUGCCCCUAGAACUCUUAGCCUCAAGAAGUCCAGCUGUCCAG